GAUGAACGCUGGCGGCGUGCCUAAUACAUGCAAGUCGAGCGGACAGACGAGGAGCUCUUUUCGGAGUGGAUAGCGGCGGACGGGUGAGUAACGCGUGGAUAACCUACCUCUAACAACCGGAUAACUUCGAGUAACCUCAGCAAAUCCCGGAUAAUAUCUCGAACUGCCCUGUCCACGCAUGAAAGACGGAGUUGAUGCCACCUAUGCGCUGUCCAUAGCUGGAUUAGCUGGUUGGUAAGGUAACGGCUUACCAAGGCAACGAUGCGUAGCCGACCUGAGAGGGUGAACGGCCACACUGGGACUGAGACACGGUCCAGACUCCUACGGGAGGCAGCAGUGGGGAAUCUUCCGCAAUGGGCGAAAGCCUGACGGAGCAAUGCCGCGUGAGUGAAGAAGGUCUUCGGAUCGUAAAACUCUGUUCUUAGCGAAGAACAAAUGUUUAAGUAACUGAGCACAUCUUGACGGUACCUGAUCAGAAAGCCCCGGCUAACUACGUG
rnacentral:rRNA from 1 species